GCUGGGUGUGGUGGCCUGCACCUAUAGUCCCAGCUACUCCAGAGGCUGAGACAGGAGGAUUUCUUGAGUCUGGGAGAUCUGGGCUGUUGUGCGCUAUGCUUUCAGGAUAUCUACCCUAAAUUUAGCAUCAAUAUGGUGAGCUCCUGGAAGCAGGGGACCACCAGGUUGUGUAAGGAGGGGUGACCCAGUCCAGGUUGAGACCGAGCAUGUCAAAACUCCCGUGCUGAUCAGUAGUGAGAUUGCACCUGUGAGUAGCCACUGCAGUGCAGCCUGGACAACAUAGCGAGACCUUGUCUCU
rnacentral:SRP_RNA from 1 species